rnacentral:rRNA from 1 species
CACGCCGUAAACGAUCUUUGCUAGUUGUCGGGAUUUGCUUUGUUUUUUCUUCGGAAUGGAUAAGGAAAUUUCGGUGACGCAGUUAACGCGUUAAGCAAAGCGCCUGGGGAGUACGACCGCAAGGUUAAAACUCAAAGGAAUUGACGGGGACCCGCACAAGCAGUGGAGCGCCUGGUUUAAUUCGAUGCUAAGCGAAGAACCUCACCAAGGCUUGAACUGUAGCUGCAAUCCUUCCGAAAAGAAGGACUCCUUCGAGGGUGCUACAGAGGUGC